rnacentral:rRNA from 1 species
UACGUAGGGCGCAAGCGUUGUCCGGAAUUAUUGGGCGUAAAGAGCUCGUAGGCGGUUUGUCGCGUCUGCUGUGAAAUCCCGAGGCUCAACCUCGGGCUUGCAGUGGGUACGGGCAGACUAGAGUGCGGUAGGGGAGACUGGAAUUCCUGGUGUAGCGGUGGAAUGCGCAGAUAUCAGGAGGAACACCGGUGGCGAAGGCGGCUUCCUGGACCGAUAACUGACGCU